GUGAUCCACCCGCCUCAGCCUCCCAGAGUGCUAGGCCUGGAGGGGGAAUUUUUGAUGUUACCAAACUACCUUUCCCACCAACUAUAGAUGUGCUUAAAUUCUUGCUAGCUGUGGGUUCAAUAUAACAAUCUUACACUAGAAUUUGCAUUUCACUGAUGACAAAUUGACCAUUUUUGUCACAAAUUUAUUGGUCAUUUGUUUCCAAUUCCAUAGAAUGCCUAUUCCUGUAUUUGGCUCAUUCCUUAUGAAAUUGUCUUUUCCCUACUGAUUUGUAGAUUAAGCAGCUUGGACUAAGCCCCCGGCUGUACCUCAGUAGCGACCACCUGUGAGCUGCUUUCAACAGUUCCCACCUCCUACCUCUGCCCACCCUGUAGGAAGCAGUGAUCAACCCCGAAGUAACUGGAACUCUAUGUUCAUCAUCUCAAGGUCUUUAGCAUUUGAAACUCCGUUAAAACUUACUACUCGUCCAAGCAAAUGACAUUCCUUCUGGAUAAAGUGGAAGCUGUUUAACACUGGCAGUUCUGGAACUUACCAGAUGUAAAUGAAUUUCAUCACGCGUUGCCUCUGUGGCCCAGAGAGAGCAAAUCCAAAAUUGCUCAUGAAACGCCAUAAGCUUCACAUAACUAUAGUACUAGUAACCUGGUGUUUGCUUAUUUUGAAUGAAAGUAGAAGAGUACCAGAAGACUUGGGUUUCUUGUCCUUGUGAGAUUUACUAGCAUCCUGUCAAUAGUUUCAGCGAUUCUUCUGUGUGAAGUGACAUCGUUCAGUGUAUGUGUAGGCGAAAACCAUAGGUCAGGGUGCCCAGCUUCUGGGUGGCAUGUCUCUUCCCCAGGUAACUUCAGAUCUGGUGUUUUUCCAUUCACAGAGCCAUUGUGCCUGAUUCCAGCCAUUCCUCUCAGCAUGGGCGUCACUAUUCUAAAGGUGCGCCCUGUGGACACGCUGGAUUAUUCCAAGCUCGACAGCACAGCAUAAGCCGUUUAUCUUUGGUUGAAUCCAUGGCUACGGAACCCACAAAUAGAGACAACUGGAAUUUGUCCGUGGUCAGGCAGCUACUAAAAGCAAUUUUUGCGAAACCCUGGCUGAGUUCCAUCAUAAAAUCAAUGGAGUACAGACAGCUCGAAAUAUCAACAAAGUGUUUGGGGA